rnacentral:rRNA from 1 species
UAGGGAAUAUUGGUCAAUGGACGAAAGUCUGAACCAGCCAUGCCGCGUGCAGGAUGACGGUCCUCUGGAUUGUAAACUGCUUUUAUAUGGGAAGAAACCUCUGGAUGCGUCCGGAGCUGACGGUACUAUAUGAAUAAGGAUCGGCUAACUUCGUGCCAGCAGCCGCGGUAAGACGAAGGAUUCAAGCGUUGUCCGGAUUUACUGGGUUUAAAGGGUGCGUAGGCGGAACUCUAAGUCAGUGGUGAAAGCU